rnacentral:piRNA from 1 species
ACACUGAGUACUCAUGUGCUGGCCAGG